rnacentral:rRNA from 1 species
ACGCUCGACACCUACGGGGGCAGCAGUCGGGAAUAUUGCGCAAUGGAGGAAACUCUGACGCAGUGACGCCGCAUAUAGGAAGAAGGUUUUCGGAUUGUAAACUAUUGUCGUUAGGGAAGAUACAAGACAGUACCUAAGGAGGAAGCACCGGCUAACUAUGUGCAGCAGCCGCGGUAAUCUGAGCGGGCUGGCAAGGC